CGGACGCCGGUGACAAACCGGAGGAAGGUGGGGAUGACGUCAAGUCAUCAUGGCCCUUACGGCCUGGGCUACACACGUGCUACAAUGGUCGGUACAAAGGGUUGCCAAGCCGCGAGGUGGAGCUAAUCCCAUAAAACCGAUCGUAGUCCGGAUCGCAGUCUGCAACUCGACUGCGUGAAGUCGGAAUCGCUAGUAAUCGUGAAUCAGAAUGUCACGGUGAAUACGUUCCCGGGCCUU
rnacentral:rRNA from 1 species